AUUGAUGAGGUCACCGCCAGUCCUGCUAACCAGACCUGAACACCCAAAUGUUGCAGGACAACCUGGACUUCAUCGACAAACGCAAAGAUCAGACAAUGAUUCGAGUUCAAAAUUAUCAACAAGUUGCCGCCCGCUUCUACAACUCCAAUAUUAAAAUUCUGAGAUUUAGCGUGGGAGAACUUGUCCUACGAAAAGUGUUCAGCAACACGAGAGAGAUAAAUGCCGAAAAAUUGGGCACCAACUUGGAAGGUCCUUAUCGAAUCUCCGAGGUAGUUCGCGACGACGUCUAUUAGCUCGAAA
rnacentral:sRNA from 1 species